rnacentral:rRNA from 1 species
GACGAACGUUGGCGGCGUGCUUAACACAUGCAAGUCGAACGGAAAGGCCCUGCUUUUGUGGGGUGCUCGAGUGGCGAACGGGUGAGUAACACGUGAGUAACCUGCCCUUGACUUUGGGAUAACUUCGGGAAACUGGGGCUAAUACCGGAUAGGAGCUCCUGCUGCAUGGUGGGGGUUGGAAAGUUUCGGCGGUUGGGGAUGGACUCGCGGCUUAUCAGCUUGUUGGUGGGGUAGUGGCUUACCAAGGCUUUGACGGGUAGCCGGCCUGAGAGGGUGACCGGCCACAUUGGGACUGAGAUACGGCCCAGACUCCUACGGGAGGCAGCAGUGGGGAAUAUUGCACAAUGGGCGGAAGCCUGAUGCAGCAACGCCGCGUGCGGGAUGACGGCCUUCGGGUUGUAAACCGCUUUCGCCUGUGACGAAGCGUGAGUGACGGUAAUGGGUAAAGAAGCACCGGCUAACUACGUGCCAGCAGCCGCGGUGAUACGUAGGGUGCGAGCGUUGUCCGGAUUUAUUGGGCGUAAAGGGCUCGUAGGUGGUUGAUCGCGUCGGAAGUGUAAUCUUGGGGCUUAACCCUGAGCGUGCUUUCGAUACGGGUUGACUUGAGGAAGGUAGGGGAGAAUGGAAUUCCUGGUGGAGCGGUGGAAUGCGCAGAUAUCAGGAGGAACACCAGUGGCGAAGGCGGUUCUCUGGGCCUUUCCUGACGCUGAGGAGCGAAAGCGUGGGGAGCGAACAGGCUUAGAUACCCUGGUAGUCCACGCUGUAAACGGUGGGUACUAGGUGUGGGGUCCAUUCCACGGGUUCCGUGCCGUAGCUAACGCUUUAAGUACCCCGCCUGGGGAGUACGGCCGCAAGGCUAAAACUCAAAGGAAUUGACGGGGCCCCGCACAAGCGGCGGAGCAUGCGGAUUAAUUCGAUGCAACGCGUAGAACCUUACCUGGGUUUGACAUGGAUCGGGAGUGCUCAGAGAUGGGUGUGCCUCUUUUGGGGUCGGUUCACAGGUGGUGCAUGCCUGUCGUCAGCUCGUGUCGUGAGGUGUUGGGUUAAGUCCCGCAACGAGCGCAACCCUUGUUCACUGUUGCCAGCACGUUAUGGUGGGGACUCAGUGGAGACCGCCGGGGUCAACUCGGAGGAAGGUGGGGAUGACGUCAAGUCCUCAUGCCCCUUAUGUCCAGGGCUUCACGCAUGCUACAAUGGCUGGUACAGAGAGUGGCGAGCCUGUGAGGGUGAGCGAAUCUCGGAAAGCCGGUCUCAGUUCGGAUUGGGGUCUGCAACUCGACCUCAUGAAGUCGGAGUCGCUAGUAAUCGCAGAUCAGCAACGCUGCGGUGAAUACGUUCCCGGG